rnacentral:rRNA from 1 species
AGUGAACGCUGGCGGUAGGCCUAACACAUGCAAGUCGAACGGCAACACAGUAAGAGCUUGCUCUUACGGGUGGCGAGUGGCGGACGGGUGAGGAAUACAUCGGAAUCUACUUUUUCGUGGGGGAUAACGUAGGGAAACUUACGCUAAUACCGCAUACGACCUACGGGUGAAAGCAGGGGAUCUUCGGACCUUGCGCGAUUGAAUGAGCCGAUGUCGGAUUAGCUAGUUGGCGGGGUAAAGGCCCACCAAGGCGACGAUCCGUAGCUGGUCUGAGAGGAUGAUCAGCCACACGGGAACUGAGACACGGUCCAUACUCCUGCGGGAGGGAGCAGUGGGGAAUAUGGGACAAAGGGCGCAAGCCUGAUCCAGCCAUACCGCGUGUGUGAAGAAGGCCUUCGGGUUGUAAAGCCCUUUUGUUGGGAAAGAAAAGCAGCAGGUUAAUACCCCGCUGUUCUGACGGUACCCAAAGAAUAAGCACCGGCUAACUUCGUG